rnacentral:rRNA from 1 species
AACCUCCGCAAUGUGAGAAAUCGCGACGGGGGGAUCCCAAGUGCCAUUCUUAACGGGAUGGCUUUUCAUUAGUGUAAAGAGCUUUUGGAAUAAGAGCUGGGCAAGACCGGUGCCAGCCGCCGCGGUAACACCGGCAGCUCUAGUGGUAACAAUUUUUAUUGGGCCUAAAGCGUCCGUAGCCGGUUUAAUAAGUCUCUGGUGAAAUCCUGUAGCUUAACUGUGGGAAUUGCUGGAGAUACUAUUAGACUUGAGACCGGGUGAGGUUAGAGGUACUCCCAGGGUAGAGGUGAAAUUCUGUAAUCCUGGGAGGACCGCCUGUUGCGAAGGCGUCUAACUGGAACGGUUCUGACGGUGAGGGACGAAAGUUAGGGGCGCGAACCGGAUUAGAUACCCGGGUAGUCCUAACUGUAAACGAUGCGGACUUGGUGUUGGGGUGGCUUUGAGCUGCUCCAGUGCCGAAGGGAAGCUGUUAAGUCCGCCGCCUGGGAAGUACGGUCGCAAGACUGAAACUUAAAGGAAUU